AAGCCAUGGCUGCUUGUUAUCCGGUCAAUGGAACGGGUUAUGUACGUCAUGUUGAUAAUCCAAAUGGAGACGGAAGACGUGUGAAAUGUAUUACAUUACGUUAAAGAACGGGAUGCCAAGACAGGAACCUUGUCUCUGUUGAAGAGCAUCAAGGGAAGAUUACAUACGCCUUGAAACCGAACCCUGCCUGAUGUGGCUCUGGGAAUUCCUGCAGAGAAGAGCAGGGGUGGCCAGGAGAUAGUGAGCAGCUCCCAGGAGGCAUGGAGGGAUCCAGAACCUGGACUGAAGAACCACCUAGAAAUAACUCAGCAGAAUUCUGAAAAUGAGGUCACGCUGGAUUUUCCAAUCCAUAGGCCCAAAGUGAACUCCCACGUGGAGUAGGAUGAAAACCCACAGCAUCUAGAUCUUCAAAUUCUGGAGAAAAAGAGAGUGUGAAAGACUGCUCAGUGGCUGGGGUGAGAGUCAAGUCU
ensembl:lncRNA novel transcript